rnacentral:misc_RNA from 1 species
CAACCCUUAAGCCUAGCUUAGUAUUGGGAGCCUACUGUAUUGUAGCUCCCCAAAUCCAACGGCGGAUCUGUGGUAUCCUCUGAGCGUAGUAAUUUUUAUCUCGCUUUUGUUAGGUGCUGCAGCUCUCAGCCGCUAAACCCCCCAAUUUUUUAAU